GGAUAACCUUUAGUGGACAUGUUCUUCAGCUCUUUCAUCGUGAAUUAUAUUCCAUGAGAUACUGUAACAACUACACCAACAUGCAUCUUAUACUUCAUAAACAAAGGUUUCAUGACCACAUUUAGAGAAAAGAGUGCAGUUUUAUGGAUAUUGUCCAAUAUAUGCAGUUUUUGUGGAUAUUGUCUAAUGGACCUUGAGCUUAAUACUUUUGUUCAAAACUUGAAUUUUCCCUAACAUGUCACUUGCUUGAAUAAUGUAACGAUGGAAAAGAGUUCAUGGAUAACCAUGAUAAUGUCGAAAUUUGAUUUGGGGAUAUAGUAAAGCUUUUAAACAUGAAGUAAUCUUCUCAUGUUUAGUAUAUCGGGUGGACAAGAUUUCAUGGACAACAAUAAUAAGAGAGAGUG
rnacentral:lncRNA from 1 species